UUAAUGUAACUAAGCCUAUUAACAUGUAAAGGGACAGAAAAAAAGAAGUUUGUAUAUAAUGAUAGCUAUAUUAGAAUGUAGUUAAGUAUCAGAAUUUGAAGAGAUAUUUCACAGCUGGUUUUGGUUAUAGUUUGCUCUACUUGGAGGUGAAGUAGCUCUGUAUAUCGCUCUCUCGAUUUUAUAUUUGAAUCGUAAUAAAAAUAUGCAGUUUUGAAUGUUUUUAGCCAAAGAUUCUGAUUAUAAUUUUUUAUAAAUGUGGCUGCUAGUAGAUAAACUCCAAUAUUGAGAUUGAAUGGCCUAGUUUUGUUUUAUAUUUUGGUUUAAUUUAUAUGCCAUCUGAUUAAUUUUUUUAUAUCUUGGCUGUUAUAGUGAGUUCAUGUAUUGAAUAAGUUGUUUAGGUAUUGAAUAAGUUCUGUAACAUUUAUAUGUGCUUUCGUUGCUCCAAUGCUUGCUGCUUGGUUUAGAUUGAAAUAUCCCAUAUUGUUUCUAUGAUAUAGUUUCCUAGGAUUUCAAGGUCUAAAUUAUUCCGUCGUGGCGUGUCACCUCUGCUGCCCUCUCUUAUAAUCGGCUACCUCUCAUUAUAAACAAUCAUUCCCCUUUUCUAAUCUUUCUAUGAUCUCUAUCUUGGGUUUUUAAUUAGGACUCUGAUACAACUUACAAGAGUAAGUUAUACUCAUUUUAGUGCUUAGUAAUAUUUCCUAAAAAAUGUGAAAUGGAGAAGUUUUUAGUGCGUAGUGUAUCUUUCAGAAAUAAUAUUUUUGAGAUCUAAUGUUUGGUUUACGUGCCCGUUUGUACCUUUGCCUUUCUCCGCUAUUUUAUAUAUAGGUUGAUAAACAAAUCAGGUCUCUAACUAGUAUUCGGUUCAUUAGAUCUUCUUGUUAAUAAGUUCCAAUACAGUCGAUCGAAGAAGAAAGUGGCGGCAAUGGAGAUGCGAAAUAAAAUAAGUGGAGACGAUGGAGAUGGUCUCAUAUACAUAUCAGAGAUUCGUCUUUAUAGGUAUGAUUUCAAGUAUUACUAAUUUGGA
rnacentral:lncRNA from 1 species